GACAGAGAGAUGAAGAGAGAAACACAGAGAUGAAGAGAGAAACACAGAAAUGGAGAGACAGAGAAUCAAGGACAGGAAAAGUUUGGAUCCUGAUGUUGAUGUUUCCCAGAUGGUUGAACUCUUGCACAUUAGCAAACGGUGUAAACCUGCUGAAUUGGUUAAUUGGUUAUUGAUUAGCAGGUGACUGACAUUUCUGAGGUAAAAUCUUCAUUUCUCCAGUCAUCAUGUCUUUACACAUGGAAUAAAAAUGCUGUAUCAGUGUCUCUUUCCCAACAUCCAUAAGGAUUAUUUCUACUGAUCAUCAGCUCUGAUCAAAAGCAGGUGAACAGGUGAAGAGGUGAAGAGGGUGAACAGGUGAAGAGGUGAAGAAGGUGAACAGUGACGUCUCUCUGACUCAAGGCUUCCAUUGGGAGUUUCGGCUGAACCACAGGGGUGGACGGAGGGAUCAGAUACGGGAUACUGUGGAAAGAAGGCGGACGAGGGUGAUGGGUUUAGCAGUGCUAGCUGAGAUGGUCUGACAGACGAGAAGACAAGAAGGUCUGACCAGAUGAACCUGAGAGCAAAGCCCUGAAGCUCCAUAACUCAGGGGUCAGUAACUGCUGCUCCAUCAUCUGAACCGAGUGAAUAAAUAAACACCCUCCCACUGCAGCUGCAGCUCUGAAGAUCUAGUUUUGUACACAAGAACCAUUGUGUGGUGUUUCCUGAGGAGUUUCAUCCAAUCACACGCUUUCAUGUAAACAUUUUAGCUAAAGAGAAAAUAUUUCACAGGUUUCACAGUCUCUUCAUCUCAUCCCUGUUUUAUCAGUUCAGUAUGUUAUUCUCAUCCAUUUGUCUCGAGUGUUUCUCUCAUCUGUUCAGUCUGUUGAUCUCGUCUCUUCAUCUCAUCUGUUCACGAGCACAUUUCAAGGUGGAAUGAAAAGGUUUGGAGGUUGAAGGUUGUACCUGGUGACCUCGAGACCUCCAGCUUUCAGAGCAAUCAGAACACAUGAACACGAGACCAGAGCUUUUACUGAUCUAAUGGACAGGUGGAGAACUCAGGUGAGGGGGAGGAGCCUGGGAUCUUUAUUAGAGGGAACUCUCAUCAGAUAACCGAUAUCUGGAAAAAUGUACCAGAAUAAAUAUCUUUAUCCUUACUCAUGUACACACACACACACACACACACACACACACACACACACACAAAGUUGGAUCCUGCAGGCCAGAUGGGAUCCUGCAACAAAUUCCAGUUCAAUCCGGAUUGAUUCACAGAUUCUUUAAUGAAAAGAAAAAAGAGGGAAAACCCCUCAAAAUUAUUACUCUUCAAACGAUGAAACAUUUGUGACUCAUUAGAAGUGUGUUUUUUGGUGAUUUUGCUCACGGAAUGUUUAAUAAACAUUAAUAAUGCCUCAGAAAGCAGGAAUGAAGGAUUAUUAUUAUUUCUUACGGUUUAUUAGAAAGAUUUAUCUGGAUGUGUGUUUGCAUUUACUUCAUGUUUGGCUGCGGUUGAAGG